CCUCCUUGUCCCGGCUCGUCCCCGCUUCCUCCCUUUGUCUGCGGCCGCCGAACAGGCCGUGUGGCGGCCGGGAGGGGAGGGAGGGCGGGCGAGAGGCAGGGAGG
ensembl:miRNA